AAUCUUCCGCAAUGGACGAAAGUCUGACGGAGCAACGCCGCGUGAGUGAUGAAGGUUCUCGGAUCGUAAAGCUCUGUUGCCAGGGAAGAACACUAAGGAGAGGAACUGCUCUUUAGUUGACGGUACCUGAGAAGAAAGCCCCGGCUAACUACGUGCCAGCAGCCGCGGUAAUACGUAGGGGGCAAGCGUUGUCCGGAAUUAUUGGGCGUAAAGCGUGCGCAGGCGGUCAUUUAAGUCUGGUGUUUAAUCCUGGGGCUCAACCCUAGGUCGCACUGGAAACUGGGUGACUUGAGUACAGAAGAGGAAAGUGGAAUUCCACGUGUAGCGGUGAAAUGCGUAGAGAUGUGGAGGAACACCAGUGGCGAAGGCGACCUUCUGGCCUUUGUCUGACGCUGAGGCACGAAAGCGUGGGUAGCAAACA
rnacentral:rRNA from 1 species